CAGUAGCCGCGGGAAUACGAAGGGUGCAAGCGUUAAUCGGAAUUACUGGGCGUAAAGCGUGCGUAGGCGGUUUGUUAAGUCUGCUGUGAAAUCCCCGGGCUCAACCUGGGAAUGGCAGUGGAUACUGGCAAGCUAGAGUGUGUCAGAGGAUGGUGGAAUUCCCGGUGUAGCGGUGAAAUGCGUAGAGAUCGGGAGGAACAUCAGUGGCGAAGGCGGCCAUCUGGGUCAACACUGACGCUGAGGCACGAAAGCGUGGGGAGCAAACAGGAUUAGAUACCCCCGUAGUCCCUGUCUCUUAUAC
rnacentral:rRNA from 1 species